CGGGACGGGUGAGUAAUGUCUGGGAAACUGCCUGAUGGAGGGGGGUAACUACUGGAAACGGUAGCUAAUACCGCAUAACGUCGCAAGCCAAGAGGGGGACCUUCGGGCCUCUUGCCAUCGGAUGUGCCCAGAUGGGAUUAGCUAGUAGGUGGGGUAACGGCUCACCUAGGCGACGAUCCCUAGCUGGUCUGAGAGGAUGACCAGCCACACUGGAACUGAGACACGGUCCAG
rnacentral:rRNA from 1 species